rnacentral:rRNA from 1 species
CAAGGAAUCUUGCGCAAUGGGCGAAAGCCUGACGCAGCGACGCCGCGUGGGGGAAGAAGGCCUUCGGGUUGUAAACUCCUUUUCUGGGGGAAGAGAAUGGACGGUACCCCAGGAAUAAGCCUUGGCUAACUACGUGCCAGCAGCCGCGGUAAUACGUAGGAGGCGAGCGUUGUUCGGAUUUACUGGGCGUAAAGGGCGUGUAGGCGGUCCGGAAAGUCUUUGGUGAAAUCUUCCGGCUCAACCAGAAGAGGUCCAGAGAUACUUUCGGACUAGAGGGCAGUAGAGGAGAGUGGAAUUCCCGGUGUAGUGGUGAAAUGCGUAGAUAUCGGGAGGAACACCAGUGGCGAAAGCGACUCUCUGGGCUGUACCUGACGCUGAGGCGCGAAAGCGUGGGUAGCAAACCGG